UUACGGACAUAUCUCGUUGAAUCAGCGGUUCUCGCAAGAUCACCGAAGUUAAGCAACGUCGAGCCUGGUCAGUACCCAAAUGGGUGACCGUUUGAGAAUAC